AUUAGGAAUCUUGCGCAAUGGGGGGAACCCUGACGCAGCGACGCCGCGUGAAGGAUGACGGCCUUCGGGUUGUAAACUUCUUUUAAGAAGGAAGAAUAAAAUGACGGUACUUCUUGAAUAAGCCCCGGCUAACUACGUGCCAGCAGCCGCGGUAAUACGUAGGGGGCGAGCGUUGUCCGAAUUUACUGGGCGUAAAGCGCGCGUAGGCGGGUUUUUAAGUCAGAUGUGAAAUCUCCACGGCUCAACCGGGAAACUGCAUCUGAAACUGGGAGCCUUGAGGUAUGGAGAGGGAAGUGGAAUUCCUGGUGUAGCGGUGAAAUGCGUAGAUAUCAGGAGGAACACCCGUGGCGAAGGCGGCUUCCUGGCCAUACUCUGACGCUGAGGUGCGAAAGCCAGGGGAGCGAACGGGAUUAGAAACCCUGGUAGUCC
rnacentral:rRNA from 1 species